CUUUAUUCAUCACGUGCUACAUGAAGAACGUUUAUAAUAGAUAUUCAGAGUAAUGCAAACUUUAGAUAAUAUUUUACAUGUGUAUAGGCUGUAAAAUACUUGUUGUGUCUUUUAUUUGAUCCUUACAUGGCUCUGUGAGGUAGGCAGUGCAAAGGUUAGUAUCCAUAUUUUACAGAUAAGGAUACUGAAGCUGAGGAAGACAAGUUGACAAUGAAGAGUCAAGCAAAUACAGCAGCCAGAGUGACAUCCAGGUCUUAUAACCCCAAGUCCAAGUGCUCUGUCUGAUACACAGUACUGCCUGUCCUCACCUGUCCUCAAGGAGUUUACAAUCUAAUAUAGGAUAUGUUAGAGUAGCAGAUAAUACCUUGCAAAAUCAAUAAUCAUUGUCAUACUUUGCUCAUGGAUGAGUUAGGUGUACUAGUAGACUCUGAGGGAGCCUUCCUAAUGUUUCUUUUUUUCUGAGGAGAAAGGUUAAUGAGAACACUCAGGAUGUAUUCACAUACCUUACAUCAAUAAUUCAAGGUAGGUCUAUAAGAAGAUGCACAAAAAAGGUUUGACGAGUUCCCAGGAAUAACUGAAGAAAUAAGAACUUAAUGAGAGGAGGCUUCAAAUUUGGUUUGAAAGUCCCUGUGAAGUCUCCCAUACAUAUAUAACUCUGAAUUUAUCCAAAUACAAAAUCUUUCUAAUUUAUCUAGCUUUAAUUUUGUUUUGUUUGUAUCUACAAAGUCUGUCUAAGCUUCAGUUUGGUACAGUGAUGGACCAGAUAAAAGUCUGGGAGAAAGGCUGAGAUUUUACCUGCAGACCUUCCUCCUUCCUUCCUCCCUUAACUGGAUGAAUAGAUUUCUACCUUUGAGAGAUUACUGGGGAUGGCCUGCCAUUCUCUUCCAUUUGGGUGACAAUUCAGGCUCUAGAGAGCAGAGAGAGGGAAAGAAAUAGGACUCUGAGGGACAACAUGUGACUUAGGGAAAAGAUUAGGGAGGGAGGUUCAAGGAAAAAGGUGGCAUCUGAAUUGGACUAUAAAGGGUGAAAGAAAAAGGUCUUCAAUAGAUGGAGAUGGGGAAGAUGGUAUGGACAAAAAUACACAGAGAUGGGGAUUGUCAGACAAAGAACAAGAGGUGAAGGGUUGUCCAGUUUCUCUAGAACAUAGAGCAAGGGAAGGACAAUAAAAUAAGAUCUGGCAGGUAGAUGGGAACCAGCUGGUGAGUGAACCUUGAAUGAUAUUGGGAGUUUAUAUUUUAUCCCGUCAAUAAUUCAUCUCAGCCAAACCUCUGGGGGAUAUAUUAUUGACCUCAAUAGACAAUGAUAAUGAUGAUGAUGUAUGUAUGUAUGUGUAUAUCGAGGGCAGCCUUAUACAUGACCACCAAGUUCCUUUCUAGGAAUAAAAGGCAAAAUGCAGAGAAUCUUGAUUUGGGGGGGUGGGAUCAGAAGGAAAGAAACAAGCAUUUAUAUAGUGCCUACCAUAUAUUAAGCACUGUUAGAUACUUUAUCAAUAUAGUGUCAUUUAAUCCUCACCAAACCCUGGAAGGUAAGUGCCAUUAUUAUCCCCAUUUUACAGAUGAAAAAACUGAGGCAAACAGAGUUGAAAUGACUUGUCCAGAUUCAUAGAAUUAGUAACCAAGGCAGGAAUCAAACUCAGGUGUUUCUGACUUCAGACUUAGCACUCUAUGCAUUGUUUCACUUACGUUCUGGUCCAUGCUCUGCUAUAUAUUAUUUACUAUUUAGUUUAUUAUAUUUACUAAUUAGCAUGCCUUUCCCCUUCUUUUUGGGAAGUUUUCUCAGCUGUAAAAAAAUGAGGGGCUCUUUGACUCCAGAGGAUGGACCACCAAACGUGCUUUCUACUUCUCCAUGAGGGGUAGCUAAUCCCACGGAGCCUCAUAUCUGUAGCCAGAGGUUGUUAGUUGAGCCUGGAGUGUCACUGGGCUGUUUUAGCGGGCCUCCUGUUCCUAUAACUUCAGCCUCUCCUACUUCUGUUAGGAGAGGUUACUGGCGUAGUCAUGUUUGCCUUCUCACCUAGGAGGGGGGAGUGGGAGAGAUGCCCUGGGGACAAGGGCCUUGGUUUCUCAUCCCAGGGCUGAGUCAGGCAGCUAAAAAAAGCCCCAAUAUGAUCUGUUCCCUUCCCUUCCCUCCAGAGGUCAACAUUAGCCUGGCUGCUUUCCCCAUGCCUUCCCUUUUGUAGAAAGAGCCUGGGGUGACAUCUGACAGACCAAUAAACAUUUGAGACUUUGGGGAGAGAGCCAGCCCAGGAGCAGCUGUUGGGAUUCUGUGUUGUCACUCCCCUGAACUCCACAACGAACAAGAGGGAUUCAAGAGAUUUUUCUUCUCCUUCCACUUCUAGCCUUCUUUAACCUAUUCCUCAAACCUUAAAUUAACUGGAAAUUUGAGGAGUGUCCUGGAAGGGGACCAGAGACUGGUAUUUCUUCCACAGCAAAGAGAAUAAACAAAACUAGAUCUGAAGUCAAAAAUCUUGAGUUCAAGUCUCACCUUUGUCAUUUCCUACCUAUGUUAGACAAGCAAGGAUUUUUCUUUAAAGCUCAGUGUCCUCCUCUGUAAAAUGAGGCGAGGCUAAAAUAGAAUGAUCUGUGAGGUCUCCUGCCAUGCAAGGACUGGGGUUGGAGGGAUAGGAGCGUUAACUUGCAAAAGAGAACGGAAACUAUAGCUGUCUUCAGAUAUGUGACAGAUUCGACUUGGUCUGCUUGGUCCUAGCAAGCAAAAUUAGGAACCAGGUCUAAAAAUUGCAGAGAGGAAGAUUUGGACUGGAUAUAAGGAAAUGCUUCCUGCCAAUUAAAACUGUCCAGAAGUAGAACGGGGUGCCCCAACAGAUAGGGAGUUUCCCACAACCGGCAUUCUUCAAGUCAACGCUGAAUGAGAGCCUGUCAGGGAUAUAACAGAGGGGAUUGCUGCUCAAAUGAAGGUUGCAUGGGAUGCUCUCUAGAGUCCCUUUUAAAUCUGGGAUUUUGUGAUUUCCUUCCAAAUCAAAAUUGUGUCAUAAGAAUCAUUUUCGACCUUCUGGAAAAUGGCCAGGGCUAUUCUACUGAUAUGAAAGCCAAACAGAGACAUAGCAGUGGGGGAUGGUAGGUGAUGGAGGGCUGGAAACAGCCCAGUGCUCUGAGUGGGACCUAGUGACAAAGGAAGGACAGGAGCAUAGUCUCCCUCUCUCACCUGGGAGCCAGGCUGAGCUAUCAAUGCAAAGGAGGGAAAGGAAGUUAAUUUAUCCACCUGUGGGUCUGCUGGCUAUAGCUCAGAGACCAAGAGCAAACAGGCCCCAGAAGAUGCUGAGAAGCCCCGUGAGGAUGAGGCUUGAGGAUCCCGGGUUCCAGGAAGCAGCCCCAUUACACAGGUCUGACUGGCAGCAGGACACCUUGGCAUUUUGUUUUAUUUGAAUUUCCUCCAUGCUAUCCUUGGUGCAGAUGGCCGCACAGGAUUUGUAGACCAGAGCUGGAGAAG
rnacentral:lncRNA from 1 species